CAUGCAAGUGGAGCGACGAACCGGGGCUUGCCCCGGGGCAGAGCCGCGAACGGGUGAGUAACACGUGGGUAACCCACCUCGAUGACCGGGACAACCCGAGGAAACUCGGGCUAAUACCGGAUGUGAUGCGCUUCUCUAAGGAAGCGUAGGAAAGAUAGCUUCGGCCUUCGCAUCGAGACGGGCCCGCGGCCCAUUAGCUUGUUGGUGGGGUAAUGGCCUACCAAGGCUUCUAUGGGUAGCUGGUCUGAGAGGACGAUCAGCCACACUGGGACUGAGACACGGCCCAGACUCCUACGGGAGGCAGCAGUGGGGAAUCUUGCACAAUGCGCGAAAGCGUGAUGCAGCAACGCCGCGUGGGGGAAGACGGCCUUCGGGUUGUAAACCCCUUUCAGUUGGGACGAAGCUUCGACGGUUAAUAGCUGUUUGGAGUGACGGUACCUUCAGAAGAAGCCCCGGCUAACUACGUGCCAGCAGCCGCGGUAAUACGUAUGGGGCAAGCGUUGUCCGGAAUCAUUG
rnacentral:rRNA from 1 species